rnacentral:snoRNA from 1 species
GUAUUACACUUGAUCUCUGAACUUCAGGUAAGUUCACUUGUUGACAGCUCAUGUACUGAUGCU